GCAACGAAUUUGCGCUGUUCUACAGUAUUGUAGAGUGAAUUCGGUACUCUUCUGCCUGGGUUAGGGCUGCGGUUAAAACACUCAUUUAGUAUGAGCCCUUUGGGGUUUUAGUUUCCCAGCUACUGCCUUCACCUUAGCCCUGUGGUGUUUUAGUGCUUGAGAAACGCAUAGUUGGAGCUGGAGGCACACACCUCAUUCAAAGGUUUUACUUCAUGAGAAAUUGUAACUUAAUGUGCUGGACUUCAAUUUGGGAGGUCGGAAACCAAAAGCCUCCUCCUGUAUCCCCAGGGUUAGACCGAGGAAAGAAAGCGUCACCUGAGGAGAAGCGGCGUGGUUAAGAGGCAGUCUGUCGCGAAGCCUCAAAGUACAUGUUUAUGAAGUUCUUGUUUGAACGCUAUGGGUGCAUCUUGCCAUUAUCAUUGUCCCCCAGUUAAAGGUCUCCGGGAACACCCAUGUAGUGGAACAAAGUUGAGCUUAUUGUCUUCUUGGAACGAGGGAGAAUGCCCACUGUGAAGAACAGCCGAACCGUCUCAGGAAGAGGAUAUCGGAGAGAACUCGAAGCUUUUGGGCUUGUGUUAGAUACAGAAAUCAUUUUAUGGAGUCAUCCAAAAAUAGUGAGAAACCAGAAACAGACUACUGGAAUCUUUACUCUGGGCCAUUCCUUAUGCUCAGCACCACCAUAGAUCUCCAGCUGCCCAAUAAUAAGGAGAAGACAUGAUGUCCAGAGCAAAAAGCCAUGGUUACUCUUUUUGGAGUGGGAGUUUGGAGGAAGAAACAUUUCAUUCUUUCAUGACGACCAGAAAUGGCUGACACCACAGAAUAUAAGGUAAUUUCUCCAGCAGUUUUCCUGCCAAACACCUUGCUCCAGAGUAAGGGGCCUCUCCAAAAAGAGACAGUAGUCCAACCUGGGAGUGGAUCUCCACAGCAAUAGUGCUCCAGCCUCACACUGGGGGGAAAGGGCGCUUCAGGUUGGAAGUAAGCAGCAAACUUAGACUCCCCCAUCUUCUGCAUGGUGUCCCAGACUAACUGGGGAGAGUGGAACUGCUCCUCUGAGGUUCCAAUUCCCUGGGGCUGGCCUACUUUAGUCUUUCCCAUUCUCUGAUCUUAGAAGGGUUUUUUUCUGUUGUGGUGGUGCUGGUGGUUUUAAUACAGUUUUAUUGAGUUUUCUUCACAUAACCUACAGUCAUCCACA